ensembl:lncRNA
UCUCCCUCCUCCUCAUCCUCCUUUCUCUCUCUCUCCCUCUUUUUCUCUCCCUCUCUAUGUCUCCUUUUCCCUCUCCCUUCCUACUGUCUACACAUCUGACAGUGAGGAUAACAAUAUGUGUCUCUCAGAGACUUAAUAAAUGGAAAGUGAUUAGCAUAGUACUUGGGACACGGUCAAAACCCCAGUAAACUUCCACUGUCACCUUUAUCUAAAGAAAAGUGCCACCUGUCUAACUAGAUCAAGUGUGUAAUAUUUCUGAUAUAUGUAUGAGCACUCCAUCACUUACUCACAAAACUCUGGUUUAAAAAAUGGAAAAUUUUAAAUCCUGAGUCAAGCAUUUGUUCUGAUUUGGUUUAUAUCAAGCAUAGUGUCAACAUCUCACCCCUUUACUCCUGGAUGGUUCAAAGUGACCCCAGGAAGGUGCACAGGCUCAGUUUUGGAGGUAGAGACUUUCUUGUGCAUCACAUAGUUUUUCUCCAUGCUCCUGACAAAGAGAUUCACUUUGCUGAGGGAUCAGGCCUAGGGUGACUCACAUCCCGUGGGAUGAGAAGUCAGUUUAGGAAGCCAUGCUGUCUCUUCCUGUCUGCCCCAGGUAUGAAUGGUGUUACUUAGACUCGUUUAAUUGGGCACACCUUGCUCCAGGCAGAGGUCCUGUGUGUGCCUUUCAUGAGUUAAGAGUCUUGGGGCAGUGAAAAGUUAAACCAGCCAUGAGUUAAACUUUCCCCAAGCAAAAGCGGCCAAUAGAGAAUCCACAGCACAUAUGCGGAAGAGUGAUGGUAGCACAGAUAGCCUAAGAAUUAGAAGCUGCCAGAAAGACCACCAGGAAAUGUGGAUAGCUCGUGUGGCGGCUUUGGGUUUAAAUCAGUCUUCUGAGAGUCCUGAACUGUCACCACCAUGUGGCACCACUGAGAGAUGAAUGACAUGUGGCAUCGCCGAGAGAUUAAUGACAAUGUUCCCUGUCAGUCAGAUAGGCUAUCCCGAGCUGUCUCUGAGGAGCCAGCCUGCAGGAUUUGUGAAUCGAACCUAGGUGACUCCUUUUCUAGAAUGCUGACUAGAGGGUUCCAAACACCAGUGCUUUCCUUUACAAUUUAAAAGUAGGCACGGAAUAGCAGCAACAAAAACCCAGUUGCUCUCCAGCCUGCCCCCUUCCAUGACCUUUCAAGCAUUACUCGUUAAAAGAGGACAGGAUGCCUCUGAGGUGUACCUCAGUGGUAGGCUAUUUACCUGGCAUGUGUGAUAUCCUGAGUUUCAUUCCCAGUACUGCAAAAAGUGGACAGUGUGCCUUGUGGGUCAGAUACCAGGCUGUGUUGCUUCUCGGUGCUCAUGUCUACGCCCUACCUGCUUCCUUUCUCUUUUGAGUAUAUGUUUGGUGGUCUACCCCUAGGGGCAGCAUUUUCUCAGAGGCUAUUGCCUCACAGGGUACACACAGUAUACACACUCAGGCACGCUCGGACCCUCCUGGGCUACACACAUUCCGGAACACUGGCUUGCACGCUGUACACUGCCACACACACUCACUCACACACCCAUGUUCCCCUAGACUGCCUUGAGUUCACACCCUCAGCCACUCCCCCACGCACUCUGUGACAUCCGAAGGGCGUGGGAGUUGCCUGGUUUUCAGAGCUGCUUUUAGAACUCCAUGUUAGUUCAAUUGGGUAGACACUAAGUUGUCAUCAGAGUGCUGUUGUGAUAGAGGGACCUGGUCAAGAAUAAACGUCGUCCUCAGAGGAGAAGGUGGGGAGCUGCCGAAAGGGUGGGCCUUUACCCCUCUGCCACAGAACCUGAGGGCAGGAAGCCAGGGUCUCUUCUGUGUCCUGGGAAAUAGCAUUUGUUUUCAGGAAGUGUGAUCUUUUUGAGGAAAGGGUGGAGUUUGGAGGUCACUGUCUGGAGCUUCUGGGGAUUUUGAAAGUGGAGGCAACCACAAUUUACACUGGCUUCAACAGUAAGAGAUGGUUAUUGGCUCACAGAACUGAGUUGUCUACUUCAGACAAAGUUUCAUCAAGAGGUCAACAACGGGCCCUCGACUCCCUUUGCUCUGUACUUCCUUCAGGCGAUCUCUCUGACCAGUUUGUCCUCCUUUAUAACAUCACGGACACUGUAGUUAAGCUGUUCCUAUACAGGGAAGAAAGGGUAAAUAGACCCACCUCCCAGAAUUCUAAGCGAUAGGCUCACAUUCUCUCUGAUGGGUUGCCUUAUGUCCCAGGUCCAUUCACAUGCUAACUGGCGUGUGCUAAACAAGAUUCCUUCCAGAGUGAGGAGUUGAGGAGAGUGGAGACUAAAAAAGGAACACCAGGGUUUGCACAUCAGGAAAGGUGAUAGAUGCCACUGGCAACAGAACCACCCCAUGAGACCCUCGCUGUCUAGAAGGGACCUCCUCAUUAUUUUCCUCUUGUCAUCUUGUCAAAGGCUGAUGACACAGGGUAAACUCCCUGCUUCCUCCUCAUCACAACUUUCCACGGCACACGCAGACACGUAGGGCUCGUGUCCCCAACUCUCUGCUUGAGUUGGUUUUCAUUUUUGUACUUUUUUUUUUUUUUUUUGGAAAUUUAUCUAUAGCCCAGUAGAUUGCCUCUCCAACAUGACAAAAGAAGUUUAGAGUUCUGCCUCCAGAGUAAAGAUCAGUCCAGAAUUCACAAGUAACCUACUCCCAUUUUCCUUUUUCGGCUUCUGCCAGUGAUAGGCCAAAACCAGGUCCCUGUGGUAACAGCUGAUGUAGUGGACUGGUGAUCGCUUGAGUUCUUUACGGAAAGCCCGUCAUUGCCCAAGGGCUGUCUCUCUGAAUCUGCACACGUGUUCUUCACGAAGUCUUAGAGAGGAGGAAAUUUCCUCUGUAUUUCACAGGUGGCAAGCCAGAACCUUGAUGGGGUGAAAUAAUUCCCUUAAGGUUAUGACCCAAGUGGGAUUUUAACCUAGGCUUGCUAGAGCUUGUGGAUGAGCCCUGAGCUUCUCGCUAGUGUCUCUUUGCAGAUGCACACUCAUAGCAGUGCCCCACGGAUAAGAGAGAAGUCAGUCUUCCCAUCCUCUGCCUCUCCUUCUUGGAGUCCUCUUUAUCCAUGGCUCUGUCUUAUUGCCAGAACCUCACACAGCCCCUGGCCUCCCUCUCAGGACAGCUGCCUCUGUUUAUCCAGCUACUCAGACCCGCCUGUGUAGUGUCAUAAACCCUGCUUCUUUGAGAAUUUCAUUUCCCUGUUUUACAUCACUUUUUUUUUCAAAACACAUAUUUCAUUCCAUGAAGCCCUGCCCUAUCUUAACUCUUCAAGUCCCUAAGUGCUGUUGAUUGUGUUGAAUGCAUCCCAAGUGCCAUUGAUUGUAUUCAAUGCAUUGGUUGGUGGAGGCCAUUUGCUUUUCAACAAGAGCCUUGUCUUGCUCAAUAGGGGAAAGUUUCACACAAACAAGUCAAUGCCUUCUGGAGCCCCUUGGCUCUUGAACCACUUCAGGUGAGCACAAUGUCUUGUUUGCACCCGAGGCUUCCAGCAGACCAUUAGCCUAAAGGAACACUAAGUCCCAAUUCUGAGUGGGUCUCUGUUACUUCAAAAGGAAUGUUCCAGAGAUGCCCCAAAUCCCCUUUCCAUACCAAACCAUCCUCCUCAUUCCACUUUCUUGUUUCUUCCAUGUUUUAUCUCCUCUCUCUGUUUCUCAUAAUUAUGUGCAGGGUCAGCCACAGCCUUUAAAUGGUAAAUGAAUGUUAUUAGCAUAUAGCCAUGUUCGCAUAUGAACACAUUGUCUCCAGCUGCUUCCCCGACAUAGUAGUAGACUGCGUCACAGCUGAGACAAUUUCUUUUCUUCUGGAAGGUCCAAACUAUUCUGAGCCUUUGCAGAAAGGUAGUGUGACCCCUGAUCUAGGUCAGUAACUCAGUAGACACCCAUCCACACCCUCUUCCUUCCCCACAUCCUACCAUGGCCAGAAGUAAAAUCCUGAUGUUUCGAAAGAAAAAAAAAAUCAUCUCAUUAAUGUCCACUUGCAAGGCAAAGAGGUAGGUGGCUGUCCCACCUCCACUUGUACCCAGGGUAGAUGCUGCUGGCCUGCCCUAUGCGCCAGCCCUUCUUCUGAGCCAUGCCCGGGCAACUGCUGUUCAGACACUGGCUGCAGCACUGGAGAGGAAAAAUAUUCUCUCUCCCUAGCCCAGGAGACACUAUCAGAUCCGAAAGCCAUGUAAGACAACAAUUAAAUGUAAUGGGUGUCCUUUGGGUUCUCCUGCCUGGGACAGCAUUCUGUGUGAAGUCAAGGCGAUGAAACGAAUUUUCUCUCUGUUUCUUUGGUACAAUACCAUAUAGAGUAUGAGUCAUGUAAUUAGGGACUAUUUUGUAUGAAAAUUCCUCCCUUUAAAAAGUAGGCUCAUUACCAUGCACUGCCUACAACAUGAAAAAGACGUAGAAACUAGGCCCCACUGAGAAUGUUCUAAAAAUUCAGCUAAUACUGACUUUAUUGAAUGGCUAUAUUAGUAAAGCCCCUGACUGUGUUUAUGUUCUUUCUCUCUCGCUAAUUCUUAUGGUCUUUUGUAACCAGGCCCCUGUUGUUGAUUUAUAAGGGGAGUAAUUCUCAACCUCUGGGGAUCACAUAUCAGAUAUCCUGAGUAUCAGAUAUUUAUGUUGCAAUUCAUAGCGGUAGCAAAAUUAUAGUAAUAAAGUAACAGCAAAAUAAUUUUAUGGUUGGGGGUCACCACAACAUGAGGAGCUCUAUUAAAGGGCCACAGCGUUAGGAAAUUUGAGAACCACCAAUAUAGGGUAAAUGCGCAUGUGUGCUUUUUGUACGGUCUGGUCGUCUCUGGGACCUUCAUCUGCCACAAACCAGGCCACACUCACCAUAUUCACCUCGUAGAUAGUUCAGAAAUAACCCCCAAACAACAUGUUCAAACACAAGUGCAGGUACUUGCUCUGAAACCUGCAGUUCUUGGAGAUGGAGAAGAGCUAGUUUGCACAGGCACUCAUUGGCUGCUGUGGGGACCUGCCCCAGGAUGCAUUUGUUGCCAGUAAGCAGCUGAACAAGCUUCCUUUGAGGAGGAGGUGAGAGGGAAGUUGUGAAUGAGGAGGCGGCUUCACUUCACAGUUUCUGGUUUCUUUCUUUUUUUUUCUUUUUUUUUUUUCCCCUCAAGAAGUAAGUAUUUUACCAAGGAGAUGUGGCGAGACUAUUUAUAAAGGACUGGGAGAUUCUCUCCCACUUCCGAGCAUUACCAGUUCCAUGGAGAAGUGGGCGGAGCCAGCAACUCUGGGAAGGUUGGAACCUUGUGCAGUUUGGCAUCCUGACAACCAAGUUGUAAACCGGGUGUGCCAGCUGCAGUCCAGUGUGGGGCUUUCCAAGAACCACUGUUCAUCGAACCUGGAACUGGAGAAGCCGAGCCAGAGAGACUGUGUGUGAACCGUUGGCCAUUUAAAAGCCGUAAACCAAUCUUGGCAAACGCUUUGGCUCUUGGCACCUUUGGCUCUUGGCUCCUUAUGCCCUUUUGUGUUAAAUUUAUGGAAAAUAGGGUAAAAAUGCUCUCCCAGGUGAUGGGGGGCCAGGGACCCUCAAAAUAGUGUUUUAAGCUUCUGGUUUCAUGGGAUCCCACUGAGAUUAAGAAAUUGAUAUUAUUGAUAUUUCUUGGGAACAAUAAAGAGGAAGAGGGAAGGAGGAAGAAGAGGGAAGGGGAGGGAAGGAGGGAAAGAGAGGGAGAGAGAGAAUCAGUACCGUUGCUUUGGAUCAGACUGAAGAACUUAGUAAGUACAAUAUCCAAAGUACCACACAACCAAGUUAUUGAAAGUGCAAAAAUAUUUAAAGUCACAUUAAUUUAAAGGCUACUCCUCUUUAAUACACUGCAUAUGAGCAAGUCCAGUUCAUAGAGGGACCAGGUUAAAAUUAAAUUUAUUUCAGUGGGCCGCCAAGACACUAGAAGGCCUUUCCCCCAGGCCAGAGAGCAAAUCACCAUGGGUUAGUUUAUCGACAGUACAAAGGAAGGAAGAGUUGAGGAACAUGGUACCUGGAAUGAGCAAGAAGCUGUGAUGUAUCCCAGAGCCAGGAUGCCACGGUUUGGUGGUGCUUCCUGCCUUCGCUGGGACAUCCAUGUGCUUCCAAAGCAAUUGCUCUAAAAAAGAUGUUGGCUGUUCCUUCUACUCAGCACCCCUGUACCUUCUGGAAACAAGAAGUCUUUACUGGGACAAGCAUUCCCUCCAGACUGCUGCUGAUCAAGUUGUACUACAAGAAGCUGUCAAUCAUGGCACUCCACACUCCCGUACACUAACGGUUCUUGCAUCUGGAUUAGCCAAUCACUACACACGUUCCCUUCCUCGCCUCGGUAUGAUGAUUGUCAGUCAGCACAUCUCCCGUGAUUUAAUUACUAGCUGGCAGAGAGGAGCUCUCUUUCCCCUCUGAGUAUGAGACAGUGGGGGCAUGAGUUUGUGACACCGUUCAUCCUGUUUACCUUGUAGCCAGCUGAGUGGA